AUGGAAUAGGCCAAUGAUGCAGCAAGAGAAUUGAAGGUUAGACUACAGGCAGGACUUCCUAGAGAUCAGGUUUAUUCCACUGGCUGGGCACUCCCAUUCCAGGCCCACUGUUUAUCCCCCAUCUUCCCUGCCCUCUCAGCGUCUGCCUUCAUACCUGUCCCUGCACUUUCCUAAGCCUGAGAUGAUGGGAAAUUUCCUACUUUUCCCAGAUCCUCCCACCUCCCUGCCAUCAUAACCCCCAUCUCCCCCACUGUGUCUGGAUAUCAUUCCCUAGGGUCAGAGUUGGGAGAGGAGUGGCACAACCAGAUGCUUAGGGCCUCUCUCUGACCUUUCAGAGGGACGAGGUUCUUGAUGGGGCCAGAUUAGAGGUGGGGAGACCAGCUCCAGGCAUCGGGGUGCUUGGGAGGACUGUUCUGGGGCUGGAGUGGGGACCAUUGGGCAGGAGCAGCCAGUGCCCACCGGGUGCUGGGAAGACUGUUUGCCAUGCAUCUGAGCUGUGCCAGGGCCUGGGCCUGGCCCCCUUCUGGUGCCCUCCCUCCCUUCUCUCUGGGCUGGAGCUGGAGCUGCUCACAGACCUGGCUCCCAUCUCUCUGACGGGCAGCCCAGAGACCCAUAUAGUUGGAGUCAUUUUGGGGCCAACACCCUGGACCACCCUUUCACCUCUGUCUGACAGUGGGAGAGUGAGGGAAGAGGGCCUAAGGCCAGUGAGGACCUAACUGCUCUGGAACAUGGAGGGCAACCUACCCUUGACCCCAAAAAUGGGAGUCAUUGACCAGUGAGGCCAAGAGGGUAGCCCCGUGCAGUUCUGAGAGAGCUCUGUCUCUCCAGUCUCGGGCCUCAGCCUCCCAAUUGCAGCUAGGAGCCCUGAGGAAACUCAGACUUCCCCACAUCUGGUACCAGCCUCGGAACCCAGGGGUCCAGGGUUCUGUGGCCUUCUCUAUCCCACACACCACUCAUCUCCACUUCCUCUUCUCUUCCUCCAGAGCAGGCCACACCUCUCCAACUCUAACCCUGAGAGCUCAGCAGUCAUGCGGUCCGUUCCCUUGACGCCACAACAUCCCCCUCUCUGUUUCAGCUCCAGCGUCUGUAUCUCUGCCCUUGUUUUGAAUUUCUUGAGCUGUUCAGGAAACUUUCCUCUUGUCACAUCAUUUCUGUCUGACCCUGGAUGUCCAUCUCCUUCACAGUCUUCAUAGACCCAACCCAGAGAGUUAAGACCAGGUCUCUCUCUCUCUCUCUCUCUCUCUGUGUGUGUGUGUGUGUGUGUGUGUGUGUAGGCAUGCACGUGUGUACACACAUCUAACAACACCCACCACCUCCAUGCUGAAUGCCCAUCAGCCGGCAGCCAAGGUCUGUCCCAUAGGAACUGAGCUCCAGCACUCAGCAGGGUCAGCAGGGAGGCACAAGAAGCCAGAGCUUUGGCUAUAGCAGGAGGGAAGCUCUCUGCUACCCCCUUAACGGCUUCAUGAGGAGCAACAUGAGCCUACACAAUAUAAGCAGGGCCUUAGGGCCUGUAGGAGUAAUUGCAAUCAUCAUAUAAAUAGUCCUUUUUAUUGGAAGCAAAACUAAUAAUACUAUUAGCAAUGACACCAGCCGAGCAGUUGCAGAUCCCUCUCGUAAAGAAUCUGAAAUGUGGAUGAUGCUGUUAUAAAUAGCAAAGUUAGCCAUAGCAACAUAGGCACUGGUAAUACUGUGGGUGGGUCUAAGGGUAACACUGUUCCCUGAUCUUACUGUCAUCAUCUGCAAUCUAAGUAAUGCAGAUAAUAAUGGUGCCCCUUGGACUUGACGCCAAUCUCUUGGUCCUAUUAGAACCAUGUAGGCAGAGCUAUUCCAAUAGGUGGGGGAAUACCUGACAGGAUAUGGAAAUACCUGGGAGAGGGAAUUCCCAGGCCCCUGGCAGUGCUAGGAAGGAAUGCAAUAGUGGUAACCGAAUUCCAGCUAAUAGUUACUGAUGUCUACCUGAGCCAGUUCUCCUAAAUGCUUCCUGUGGAUAACCUCAACUGUGAGAAAAAGAUUGUUUAUGUUUUGCUCAUGACACCGAUGAGGAACCCGAGGUUCAGAGAAGUCAACUAACUACCCCAAGGUCACAGAGCAAGGAGCCGAGUUGGGAUUCCAGCCGAAAUGGGCACCCCGACCACCCCCUAGAGCGGCUCUGAUCGGCUGUCCUGCCGGACUACAGUAAGGUGUCCCCAGAAGGGUUGCUGGCCGCUGCUCCUGGAGCUGCCAGUGCGUGGGGGCACGGAGGCAAGGACUGAUCCGGAACGCUACCGCCCUGCCUGGGACAAGGUCGGAAAUCUCGGCGGCCGCGCUGGGACAGGAGCGCGCAGCAGGGAAGACGCGAGGACCCGAGGGGUUGCUGAUCAGACUGCGAGCAGCAGGGGGGCUGCCACUGGCAGAGCUGGAAGCAUGUAGAUCAGAGAUGGCAGCAGCAGCUGCAGGCGCUCGGGGCUGUCCGGCAGCCUACCCCGCUGCGGUGUCAGGAGUCGACGAGUUGGGUGCCCCAGAGCCUCGAGGCAAGGGCUGACAGGCGGGGGGCGCAGACCAGGCAGGCACUCCCUUCUCCCUGUCCCCGACCCCACGGCGGGCGGCGGGGCUGCGGAGGCACUCACCUACCCAGGGCUGGGGUUGGGUCGCGGCACUGCGAAGUUUGUCGCCUCCUCCGGGGGUCUCCUCCGGGUGCACGGCUCAGUCCUGCAGCUGCAGCUGAGACUGCGGCGGAGACUGCGCGAGCGUGAGGAGAGGCUGGGGCCGCAGGACAUUCGGAAGAGGGCGCCGGCCCUCCCGGCGCAGCACAAAACCCCCUUUCUUCCCCCCGCCCCUGCCCCGCCCUCCCCGGGGCCGCCCCCGCCCCCUGGUCGGGAGCGCGGGGCUCUCGGGACGGUCACGGGACCCGCUGCCUUCUCUGCUUCGGCUCCCGGCAGCAGCGGCAAGAGCAAGGACGAGCGAAAUAGGACAUCGUUCAGCGGAUGAGAAGCCGAGGGCUUGGAGUAGGGAGGAGGGGCAGGAGGGGCGGGGAGGGAGCGUUCGCCCAGCGUUCGCUGAGCUAAAGGAUGACGAUGUUGCAGCUGGAGGGGUGGAAGUUGGACAACUGGAGGGUCUUCUCGUUGUUCAAAGAAGGAGGAGGAGGGAGUCAAUUAGACUGUAAGAAGUGGAUGAAAGGAGAAUGGGGGCUUUGCUCCUGAAAAGAGACACCCUCUCUAAUAAAAAAAAAAUGGAAAACUC
rnacentral:antisense_RNA from 1 species